GACGUAGGGCGCGAGCGUUGUCCGGAUUUAUUGGGCGUAAAGAGCGUGUAGGCGGCCAUGCAGGUCCGUUGUGAAAACUCGAGGCUCAACCUCGAGACGCCGAUGGAAACCGCAUGGCUAGAGUCCGGAAGAGGAGAGUGGAAUUCCCGGUGUAGCGGUGAAAUGCGCAGAUAUCAGGAAGAACACCCGUGGCUAAGGCGGCUCUCUAGUACGGUACUGACGCUGAGACGCGAAAGCGUGGGGAGCGAACAGG
rnacentral:rRNA from 1 species